CACCAGGUCAGGACACGGUAAGGAUUGACGGACUGAAGGCUCUUUCUCGAUUCCGUGGAAAGUGGUGCAUGGCCGUUUUGGUUGGUGGAUCGAUCCGUCUGGUUAAUUCCGUUAACGAACGAGACCUCGGCACUCCGAAUAGCGCGGCGGACGUCGCGGCCUCCGGGCCGUCUUCCGCACGAGCUUCUUAGAGGGACCGUCCCCCGCCGGGGAAGGAGGUGCGAGGCAACGACAGGUCUGUGAUGCCCUUAGAUGUUCUGGGCCGCACGCGCAUUACACUGACGCGUCCAACGGGUGACUCCCGACCCGAAGGGGCCGGGGAAUCCGCAAGGCGCGUCGUGAUGGGGAUUGAACGUUGCAAUUGUUGUUCACGAACGAGGAAUUCCUAGUAGGCGCGGGUCAUCAACCCGCGCCGAUUACGUCCCUGCCCCUUUGUACACACCGCCCGU
rnacentral:rRNA from 1 species